rnacentral:lncRNA from 1 species
GGGUUUCUUGAGAAAGUAACAUAUGAAAUAGAACUAUGAUACAGAUAGGAUGUUAACAGAGAGAAGAGGAGGCAUUCAGAGGAGGCCAGGAAGAAUGCUGGGAAGAAAACAGUGGCAAUUGGGUAUUGGGAUAAGUCAAAACAUUUGAAAGAAAUAAACACAGAAUACUUGCACAGUAUGUUUGACACCUUUGUUACACAUCAAUCAAGAGCAGUUUAAAUGGACUUGUAUAGGCAAAUGGAAAAGCCACAUGCAAACACAGCUUUAGAAAGGUUUUAUUGGCAGUGAUUUUAAGGAUAGAUAAGCGUAAGGAAAAAUUCUUUUGAGUAAUAGUUGAAAUCUUCUAUGCCAGAAAUAAUUAGAGCUUGAGCUGAUUUGUUGGUAGUGACCUUGGAAACAAUGGAGCAGAUGAAAGAGACUCAAAAAGAGGGAAACUGUACAUAACUGGGCUAUCAGUUGAGGAAUGAGAGAGCAUGGUAAAAAUGGUGAAUUCCGGCACAGCUGA